rnacentral:rRNA from 1 species
AGUGAACGCUGGCGGUAGGCCUAACACAUGCAAGUCGAACGGCAGCACAGUAAGAGCUUGCUCUUACGGGUGGCGAGUGGCGGACGGGUGAGGAAUACAUCGGAAUCUACUUUUUCGUGGGGGAUAACGUAGGGAAACUUACGAUAAUACCGCAUACGACCUACGGGUGAAGGCAGGGGAUAGUCGGACCUUGCGCGAUUGAAUGAGCCGAUGUCGGAUUAGCUAGUUGGCGGGGUAAAGGCCCACCAAGGCGACGAUCCGUAGCUGGUCUGAGAGGAUGAUCAGCCACACUGGAACUGAGACACGGUCCAGACUCCUACGGGAGGCAGCAGUGGGGAAUAUUGGACAAUGGGCGCAAGCCUGAUCCAGCCAUACCGCGUGGGUGAAGAAGGCCUUCGGGUUGUAAAGCCCUUUUGUUGGGAAAGAAAAGCAGCAGGUUAAUACCCCGCUGUUCUGACGGUACCCAAAGAAUAAGCACCGGCUAACUUCGUG